rnacentral:lncRNA from 1 species
AGGCCCCUCGCAAAGUCUCGCGGCAUUCCGAGUCCGGCGGACGAAGUUGGCCAGCCCCACCCCCCAAGGCUAUAGCCCACCCGUUUUUGGGGCCUUUUUCCGCUGGACAAACUUGGCGCUCCGGCCUUCGGGUGGUUAUUUUUGGGCGCGGCUUUACCCGCAGCCUAUUUUUGGCACACGGAGGCCCCUCGCAAAGUCUCGCGGCAUUCCGAGUCCGGCGGACGAAGUUGGCCAGCCCCACCGCCCAAGGCUAUAGCCCACGCGUUUUUGUGGACUUUUUCCGGUGGACGAACUUGGCGCCCCGGCCUUUGGGCGGUUAUUUUUGGACGCGGCUUUUCCCGCGGCCUAUUUUUGGCACACGGAGGCCACUCGAAAAUUCUCGCGGCAUUCCGAGUCCGGCGGACGAAGGUGGCUAGCCCGAAACCCCAAGGCUAUAGCCCACCCGUUUUUGUGUCCUUUUUCCGCUGGACGAACUUGGCGCCCCGGCCUUCGGGCGGUUAUUUUUGGGCGCGGCUUUGCCCGCGGCCUAUUUUUGGCACACGGAGGCCCCUCGCAAAGUCUCGCGGCAUUCCGAGUCCGGCAGACGAAGUGGGCCAGCCCCACUCCCCAAGGCUAUAGCCCACCCGUUUUUGUGGCCUUUUUCCGCCGGACGAACUUGGCGUCCCGGCCUUCGGGCGGUUAUUUUUCGGCGCGGCUUUGCCCGCGGCCUAUUUUUGGCACACGGAGGCCCCUCGCAAAGUCUUACGGCAUUCCGAGUCCGGCGGACGAAGUGGGCCAGCCCCACCCCCCAAGGCUAUAGCCCACCCGUUUUUGUGGCCUUUUUCCGCUCGACGAACUUGGCGCUCCAGCCUUCGGGCGGUUAUUUUUGGGCGUGGCUGUGCAUGUGGCCUAUUUUUGGCACACGGAGGUGCCUCGCAAAGUAUCGCGCCAAUCCACGUCCGGCGGACGAAGUUGGUCAGCCCCACCCCCCAAGGCUAUAGCCAACCGUUUUUGUGGGCUUUUUCCGGUGGACGAACUUGGCGUCCCGGCCUUCGGGUGGUUAUUUUUGGGCGCUGCUGUGCCCGCGGCCUAUUUUUUGCAAUUGUAGGCACCUCGCAAAGUCUCGCGCCAUUCCGAGUCCGGCGGAUGAAGUUGGCCAGCCCCACCCCCCAAGGUUAUAGCCCACGCGUUUUUGGGGCAUUUUCCCGCUGGACGAACAUGGCGCCCCAACCUUCGGACGGUUAUUUUUGGGCGCGGCUGUGUCCGCGGCCUAUUUUUGGCACACAGAGGCGCCUCGCAAAGUCUCGCGCCAUUCCGAGUUAGGCGGACGAAGUUGGCCAGCCCCACCCCCCAAGGCUAUAGCCCACCCGUUUUUGUGGCCUUUUUCCGCUGGACGAACUUGGCGCCCCGGUCUUCGGGCGGUUAAUACGGGCGCAGGCUAGCCUGCAGCGUAUUUUAGCACACGGAGGCACCUCGCAAAGUCUCGCGCCAUUACGAGUCCGGCAGACGAAGUCGGCCAGCCGCACCCCCCAAGGCUAUAGCCCACCCGUUUUUGUGGCCUUUUUUCCGCUGCACGAACUUGGCGCCCCGGCCUUCGGGCUGUUAUUUUUGGCCACGGCUGUGUCCGCGGCCUAUUUUUGGCACACGGAGGCACCUCGCAAAGUCUCGCGCCAUUCCGAGUCCGGCGGACGAAGUUCGCCAGCCCCACCCCCCAAUGCUAUAGCCCACCCGUUUUUGUGGCCUUUUUGCGCUGGACGAACUUGGCGCCCCGGCCUUCGGGCGGUGAUUUUUGGGUGCGGCUGUGCCCGCAGCCUAUUUUUGGCACACGGAGGCACCUCGCAAAGUCUCGCGCCAUUCCGAGUCCGGCGGACGAAGUACGCCAGCCCCACCCCCCAAUGCUAUAGCCCAACCGUUUUUGU